rnacentral:rRNA from 1 species
UACAGAGGGCGCAAGCGUUGUUCGGAUUCAUUGGGCGUAAAGGGCGUGUAGGCGGCGCGCUAAGUCGGGUGUGAAAUUUCGGAGCUUAACUCCGAAACUGCAUUCGAUACUGGCGUGCUUGAGGACUGGAGAGGAGACUGGAAUUCAUGGUGUAGCAGUGAAAUGCGUAGAGAUCAUGAGGAAGACCAGUGGCGAAGGCGGGUCUCUGGACAGUACCUGACACUGAGACACGAAGGCCAGGGGAGCAAACGGG